rnacentral:rRNA from 1 species
GACAGAGGGUGCAAACGUUGUUCGGAUUUACUGGGCGUAAAGCGUGUGUAGGCGGCUUGGCAAGUUGGAUGUGAAAGCCCACGGCUCAACCGUGGAAGCGCAUCCAAAACUGCUUCGCUCGAGUCUCGGAGAGGAAGGUGGAAUGCUUGGUGUAGAGGUGAAAUUCGUAGAUAUUCGCAAGAACACCAGUGGCGAAGGCGGCUCACUGGCCCGGUACUGACGCUGAGGUGCGAAAGCGUGGGGAGCAAACAGG